rnacentral:lncRNA from 1 species
UGAACAAUAGGAUGAAGGUGGAGCUUGAAAAGGUUGAUGAGAAGGGGAGCUUCUCGGAAUGGAAGGUUAGGAUAGAGGAUUUGUUGGUCCAACUUGGGUUGAAUCUGGCUUUGGAGAAAAUAUCGGAGGUUAUGACAAAUCACAGUAGAGUUCUUUUGAAAAGAUAUGUAAGAGAGAAAGAAAAGGGGCUGAUUUUCUGAGUACCCUUGCUG